GCCAGAUAGCUCAGUCAGUAGAGGAUGAGACUCUUAAUCUCAGAAUCGAGGGUUCGAGCCCCAUGUGGGGCA